rnacentral:pre_miRNA from 1 species
AGUUGCAAAUAUUGUGGUGGCAUCACUAAUUGUUUUGCAAUCUGACUUUUAUGGUUGA